rnacentral:rRNA from 1 species
UACGAAGGGUGCAAACGUUGCUCGGAAUUAUUGGGCGUAAAGCGCACGUAGGCGGCUUAGCAAGUCGGAAGUGAAAGCCCUUGGCUCAACCAAGGAAGUGCUUUCGAAACUGCUGAGCUUGAGUAGUUAAGAGGAUCGCGGAAUUCCCGGUGUAGAGGUGAAAUUCGUAGAUAUCGGGAGGAACACCAGUGGCGAAGGCGAGUCCCUGGACAACACCUGACACUGAGGCACGAAAGCUAGGGAGCAAACAGG